rnacentral:rRNA from 1 species
UACGAAGGGGGCUAGCGUUGCUCGGAAUCACUGGGCGUAAAGCGCACGUAGGCGGACUCUUAAGUCGGUGGUGAAAUCCUGGAGCUCAACCACAGAAUUGCCUUCGAUACUGCAUGGCUUGAGACCGGAAGAGGUUAGUGGAACUGCGAGUGUAGAGGUGAAAUUCGUAGAUAUUCGCAAGAACACCAGUGGCGAAGGCGGCUGACUGGUCCGGUUCUGACGCUGAGGCGCGAAAGCGUGGGGAGCAAACAGG